CUUUUUUUUCUUUCUUCUAUUGAAUGUACAGUUACACGUUUCCUGUGUUCAUUUGAAAUCUUUUGAACCAAGUUUUAUCUAGUUACGUAUACUUAAUGUCCAUGUUCUAAGAUACUUUUGAACAGUUUAUUCUGUGGUAGCUUGGUUUUGCAGACAUACAGAGAAGAGAACCGUCAGAAAUGACAUUACUUCGUGCCCUUUACAAAUAAAGAAUACUUUGAGGGCUAAUUGUGUACCGUUGUAACACAAAGUCUAUUUCAUUCUGUUUGGCUUUAACAAAAUCAUGGUCAUUGACUAUCUUGCCUUCAAGAGAAACAGAAACUGGAUUGUUACUUAUCAUUUCUAUGACUUCUUUGUCCAUUAAAAAAAAACAUGUUUUUAAGAUAGUGGGUAAACGU